GACGAACGCUGGCGGCGUGCUUAACACAUGCAAGUCGAACGGAAAGGCCCUGCUUUUGUGGGUUGCUCGAUUGGCGAACGGGUGAGUAACACGUGUGUAUCCUGCCCUUGUCUUUCUGAUAUCUUCACGAAACUGCGGCUCUUAUCCGAUAUGAUCUCCUGCUGCAUGGUGGGGGUUGGUAAGUUUCGGCGGUUGGGGAUGGACUCGCGGCUUAUCAGCUUGUUUGUGGGGUAGUGGCUUACCAAGGCUUUGACGGGUAGCCGGCCUGAGAGGGUGACCGGCCACAAUGGGACUGAGAGACGGCACAGACUGGUACGGGAGGCAGCAGUGGGGAAUAUUGCAGAAUGGGCGGAAGCCUGAUGCAGAAACGCCGCGUGCGGGAAGACGGGCUUCGGGGGGUAAACCGAUUUGGCCUGUGACGAAGCGUGAGUGACGGUAAUGGGUAAAGAAGCACCGGCUAACUACGUG
rnacentral:rRNA from 1 species